GUGGGGAAUCUUGCGCAAUGGGCGAAAGCCUGACGCAGCCAUGCCGCGUGGAUGAUGAAGGUCUUAGGAUUGUAAAAUCCUUUCACCGGUGAAGAUAAUGACUGUAGCCGGAGAAGAAGCCCCGGCUAACUUCGUGCCAGCAGCCGCGGUAAUACGAAGGGGGCUAGCGUUGCUCGGAAUUACUGGGCGUAAAGGGCGCGUAGGCGGAUCGUUAAGUCAGGGGUGAAAUCCCAGAGCUCAACUCUGGAACUGCCCUUGAUACUGGCGAUCUUGAGUGUGAGAGAGGUAUGUGGAACUCCGAGUGUAGAGGUGAAAUUCGUAGAUAUUCGGAAGAACACCAGUGGCGAAGGCGACAUACUGGCUCAUUACUGACGCUGAGGCGCGAAAGCGUGGGGAGCAAACAGGAUUAGAACCCGAGUAGUCC
rnacentral:rRNA from 1 species